AAAAGAACCACAAAAAUGUGACUAACUUUAAUCCCCUGAAAUCCAAUUUCAUUUUUUCUUUUCAGACCAAAUGCCGUCCCUGCUGUUUGUCACCAAUCCACAUACCAGUGCAGGCAGCCAAGUGGUUUCCUUCCCCAGGGUGAGAUGUCUGAGCAACUAGAAGAGAGCAGAGCACAGUAUUCAAAUGCUCCAAAGAUGUCCCUAGAAAACAAUCAAGUCAGAUCGAUGACAAAACUAUUUAACUGGAGAAGCACAUUAUGGUGAAGAAGAACCUGAUGUGGGGGUGAAGAGGGUAGUUUGAAUUGAAUCCUGACACUAGUUGAAGAGCAGAGAUCUAUCAAUGAAGAGACUUAGGAGCUAGAAUCUGAAGGGGCCUUUUUGCAUAUUUCCUUAUUGGAACUGAUUUCAGUAAGCUUCUCUUUGUGUUCCUUUCCUUAUUUAUUCUUCUAAUUUUAUUUAAUUUUAUUUGUGGUGCUGGGGAUUGAACUCAGGGCCUCAUACAUGUCAGGAAAGUGCUGUACCACUUAGAUUAUCCCACCCCUCCUUUAUUUAUUCUUAGGUAUUGAAUAGUUUGAUAUCAUUCACUUUCUAUCCAGGUUUUUGUUGAGGAAAAUAAUAUAGUGGAAAUGAAAAAGAUGCUAUUAAUUCAAAUAAAAUAUUAUGUCAGAU
rnacentral:lncRNA from 1 species